rnacentral:rRNA from 1 species
AUUGAACGCUGGCGGCAGGUCUAACACAUGCAAGUCGAGCGGGUGAAGGGUUCUUGCUCCUGGAUUCAGCGGCGGACGGGCAAGUAAUGCCUAGGAAUCUGCCUGUUAGUGGGGGAUAACGUCCGGAAACGGGCGCUAAUACCGCAUACGUCCUGAGGGGGAAAGUGGGGGAUCUUCGGACCUCACGCUAUCAGAUGAGCCUAGGUCGGAUUAGCUAGUUGGUGGGGUAAAGGCCUACCAAGGCGACGAUCCGUAACUGGUCUGAGAGGCUGAUCAGUCACACUGGAACUGAGACACGCUCCAGACUCCUACGGGAGCGAGCCGUGGGUAAUAUUGGCCACAGGGCGAAUGCCUGCUCAAGCCAUGCCGCGUGCGUGAAGAAGGUCUUCUGAUUGUAAAGCACCUUCAGUUGGGAGGAAGGGCAGUAAGUUAAUACCUUGCUGUUUUGACGUUACCAACAGAAUAAGCACCGGCUAACUUCGUG